rnacentral:rRNA from 2 species
GCCUGAUGCAGCAACGCCGCGUGAGGGAUGACGGCCUUCGGGUUGUAAACCUCUUUUAGCAGGGAAGAAGCGAAAGUGACGGUACCUGCAGAAAAAGCGCCGGCUAACUACGUGCCAGCAGCCGCGGUAAUACGUAGGGCGCAAGCGUUAUCCGGAAUUAUUGGGCGUAAAGAGCUCGUAGGCGGUUUGUCGCGUCUGCUGUGAAAUCCGGAGGCUCAACCUCCGGCCUGCAGUGGGUACGGGCAGACUAGAGUGCGGUAGGGGAGAUUGGAAUUCCUGGUGUAGCGGUGGAAUGCGCAGAUAUCAGGAGGAACACCGAUGGCGAAGGCAGAUCUCUGGGCCGUAACUGACGCUGAGGAGCGAAAGGGUGGGGAGCAAACAGGCUUAGAUACCCUGGUAGUCCACCCCGUAAACGUUGGGAACUAGUUGUGGGGUCCAUUCCACGGAUUCCGUGACGCAGCUAACGCAUUAAGUUCCCCGCCUGGGGAGUACGGCCGCAAGGCUAAAACUCAAAGGAAUUGACGGGGACCCGCACAAGCGGCGGAGCAUGCGGAUUAAUUCGAUGCAACGCGAAGAACCUUACCAAGGCUUGACAUAUACGAGAACGGGCCAGAAAUGGUCAACUCUUUGGACACUC